GACGAACGCUGGCGGCGUGCUUAACACAUGCAAGUCGAACGGAAAGGCCCUGCUUGCAGGGUACUCGAGUGGCGAACGGGUGAGUAACACGUGGGUGAUCUGCCCUGCACUUCGGGAUAAGCCUGGGAAACUGGGUCUAAUACCGGAUAGGAGCCAUUUUUAGUGUGAUGGUUGGAAAGUUUUUUUCGGUGUAGGAUGAGCUCGCGGCCUAUCAGCUUGUUGGUGGGGUAAUGGCCUACCAAGGCGGCGACGGGUAGCCGGCCUGAGAGGGUGGGCGGCCACAUUGGGACUGAGAUACGGCCCAGACUCCUACGGGAGGCAGCAGUGGGGAAUAUUGCACAAUGGGCGCAAGCCUGAUGCAGCGACGCCGCGUGGGGGAUGACGGCCUUCGGGUUGUAAACUCCUUUCGCUAGGGACGAAGCUUUUUGUGACGGUACCUAGAUAAGAAGCACCGGCUAACUACGUG
rnacentral:rRNA from 1 species